UCUACAUUCAACAGGGUUCAAUAUACGAAGCCUCAACAUCUCCUUCAUUCAACAUGCUGUCAUCACUGAUGUUUCUAGUUAUUCUAAAAGGAUUCAGCUGUGAAGAACUCAAACCAGUGAAGACAGAAGAGAACAGUGUAGAAGACACAACUGUUACUCUGUCCUACAUUUACUCCAAACAGGCAACUGGUAGUGAUUAUUUCUUCUGGUAUCGACAAUAUCCAGGAAAAGCACCAGAGUUCCUCAUCUCCCACUUAGGAUCAGGAGGAUUAUUGAAUAGUCCAAAGUCUAAUCUGGUGAUCAAAGUUGAUGGAAACCGAAUCAGUCUGAACAUCUCGUCUGCUGCAGUGUCAGACUCUGCUGUGUACUACUGUGCUGUGAAGCCCACAGUGACAGGAAACACCAAAACCUUGUUAUGA